ACGCGUAGGAAUCCACCCAGUAGCGGGGGAUAAGCCAGAGAAAUUUGGUCUAAUACCGCAUACGCCCUUCGGGGGAAAGCAGGGGAUCUUCGGACCUUGCACUAUUGGAUGAGCCUGCGUGAGAUUAGCUAGUUGGUGAGGUAAUGGCUCACCAAGGCGACGAUCUCUAGCUGGUCUGAGAGGAUGAUCAGCCACACUGGAACUGAGACACGGUCCAGACUCCUACGGGAGGCAGCAGUGGGGAAUAUUGCACAAUGGGCGCAAGCCUGAUGCAGCCAUGCCGCGUGUGUGAAGAAGGCCCUAGGGUUGUAAAGCACUUUCAGCAGUGAGGAAAGGUUAGUAGUUAAUACCUGCUAACUGUGACGUUAACUGCAGAAGAAGCACCGGCUAACUCCGUGCCAGCAGCCGCGGUAAUACGGAGGGUGCGAGCGUUAAUCGGAAUUACUGGGCGUAAAGCGCGCGUAGGUGGAUUGGUCAGUCAGAUGUGAAAGCCCAGGGCUCAACCUUGGAACUGCACCUGAUACUGCCAGUCUAGAAUACGGUAGAGGGU
rnacentral:rRNA from 1 species